rnacentral:rRNA from 1 species
UACGGGGGGUGCGAGCGUUGUCCGGAAUCACUGGGCGUAAAGGGCGCGUAGGUGGUUUGAUAAGGGUGUGGUGAAAGUCCGGGGCUCAACCCCGGAUCUGCCGUGCCGACUGUCAAACUCGAGGACUGUAGAGGCAGACGGAAUUCCGGGUGUAGCGGUGGAAUGCGUAGAGAUCCGGAGGAAGACCGGUGGCGAAGGCGGUCUGCUGGGCAGUUUCUGACACUGUGGCGCGACAGCGUGGGGAGCAAACAGG